AAACUCCCAUGGUCAUGUGACUCCAGAUACUUCUGGGGCUGGUUGAAUGCAGUGUUUAAUAAGGUGGAUUAUGAUCGCAUCAGGGAUGUUGGCCCUGACAGGGCGGCAUCCGAGUGGUUGCUGCGCUGUGGGGCCAUGGUGCGCUACCAUGGCCAGGAGAGGUGGCAGAAGGACUACAACCACCUUCCAACAGGCCCUCUGGACAAAUACAAGAUUCAGGCGAUCGACGCCACCGACUCUUGUAUCAUGAGCAUUGGAUUUGAUCACAUGGGUAACUACCCUAUCGUUUUGCUAAUAGAAAAUGCAGAUGAUUUGCAGUGACCAUUUUGUUGCAGUUGACUCACGAUUAUAGUCAUAGAGGGCCUAGAGCAUGUUGAAAAAAUAAGGCUGUGCAAGUGUCAUUAUAUCGAGGAUGACUGUUUGCUGAGACUUAGUCAACUUGAAAAUUUACAAAAAACCAUAUUGGAAAUGGAAAUAAUAUCCUGUGGGAAUAUCACAGACAAAGGCAUCAUUGCUUUGCGUCAUUUAAGAAACCUCAAAUAUUUGUUGUUAAGUGAUCUUCCUGGAGUAAGAGAAAAAGAAAAUCUUGUCCAAGCCUU
rnacentral:lncRNA from 1 species